GUAGCUGACGGUACCAUAUGAAUAAGCCUCGGCUAACUCCGUGCCAGCAGCCGCGGUAAUACGGAGGAGGCAAGCGUUAUCCGGAUUUAUUGGGCGUAAAGCGUUCGCAGGUGGUUUUUCAAGUCUGCUGUUAAAGACAGUGGCUCAACUACUGAAAGGCAGUAGAUACUGAAGAACUAGAGUGCGGUAGGGGCAGAGGGAAUKCCCGGUGUAGCGGUGAAAUGCGUAGAUUUCGGGAAGAWCAUCGGUGGCGAAAGCGCUCUGCUGGGCCGCAACUGACACUCAGGGACSAAAGCUAGGGGAGCGAAUGGGAUUAGAUACCCCAGUAGUCCUAGCCGUAAACGAUGGAUACUAGGUGUWGCCUGUAUCGACCCAGGCAGUGCCGUAGCUAACGCGUUAAGUAUCCCGCCUGGGGAGUACGCACGCAAGUGUGAAACUCRAAUGAA
rnacentral:rRNA from 1 species